UGAAAAGUCCCCAGGAUUCCAAAGGUC
rnacentral:piRNA from 1 species